rnacentral:rRNA from 1 species
UACGUAGGGUGCAAGCGUUAAUCGGAAUUACUGGGCGUAAAGCGUGCGCAGGCGGUUAUGUAAGACAGAUGUGAAAUCCCCGGGCUCAACCUGGGAACUGCAUUUGUGACUGCAUAGCUUGAGUGCGGCAGAGGGGGAUGGAAUUCCGCGUGUAGCAGUGAAAUGCGUAGAUAUCGAGAGGAACACCAGUGGCGAAGGCGAGUCUCUGGACGACUCCUGACACUGAGGCACGAAAGCUGGGGGAGCAAACAGG